AGUGAACGCUGGCGGUAGGCCUAACACAUGCAAGUCGAACGGCAGCACAGUAAGAGCUUGCUCUUACGGGUGGCGAGUGGCGGAUGGGUGAGGAAUACAUCGGCAUCUACUUUUUCGUGGGGGAUAACGUAGGGAAACUUACGCUAAUACCGCAUACGACCUACGGGUGAAAGCAGGGGAUCUUCGGCCCUUGCGCGAUUGAAUGAGCCGAUGUCGGAUUAGCUAGUUGGCGGGGUAAAGGCCCACCAAGGCGACGAUCCGUAGCUGGUCUGAGAGGAUGAUCAGCCACACUGGAACUGAGACACGGUCCAGACUCCUACGGGAGGCAGCAGUGGGGAAUAUUGGACAAUGGGCGCAAGCCUGAUCCAGCCAUACCGCGUGGGUGAAGAAGGCCUUCGGGUUGUAAAGCCCUUUUGUUAGGAAAGAAAAGCAGCAGGUUAAUACCCCGCUGUUCUGACGGUACCCAAAGAAUAAGCACCGGCUAACUUCGUG
rnacentral:rRNA from 1 species